rnacentral:rRNA from 1 species
CCUACGGGCGGCUGCAGUGGGGAAUAUUGGACAAUGGGGGCAACCCUGAUCCAGCCAUGCCGCGUGUGUGAAGAAGGCCCUCGGGUUGUAAAGCACUUUCAGUGAGGAAGAACGCCUGGUGGUUAAUACCCAUCAGGAAAGACAUCACUCACAGAAGAAGCACCGGCUAACUCCGUGCCAGCAGCCGCGGUAAUACGGAGGGUGCGAGCGUUAAUCGGAAUUACUGGGCGUAAAGCGCGCGUAGGUGGCUUGAUAAGCCGGUUGUGAAAGCCCCGGGCUCAACCUGGGAACGGCAUCCGGAACUGUCAAGCUAGAGUGCAGGAGAGGAAGGUAGAAUUCCCGGUGUAGCGGUGAAAUGCGUAGAGAUCGGGAGGAAUACCAGUGGCGAAGGCGGCCUUCUGGACUGACACUGACACUGAGAUGCGAAAGCGUGGGUAGCAAACAGGAUUAGAUACCCUAGUAGUC